AACCUUAUGGACCUGCGGGCGUAUACCUGCGGAGGGAUCAUUACAAGUGACCCCGGUCUAACCACCGGGAUGUUCAUAACCCUUUGUUGUCCGACUCUGUUGCCUCCGGGGCGACCCUGCCUUCGGGCGGGGGCUCCGGGUGGACACUUCAAACUCUUGCGUAACUUCGCAGUCUGAGUAAACUUAAUUAAUAAAUUAAAACUUUCAACAAUGGAUCU
rnacentral:misc_RNA from 1 species